AGUGAACGCUGGCGGUAGGCCUAACACAUGCAAGUCGAACGGCAGCACAGUAAGAGCUUGCUCUUACGGGUGGCGAGAGGAGGACGCGUGAGGAAUACAUCGGAAUCUACUUUUUCGUGGGGGAUAACGUAGGGAAACUUACGCUAAUACCGCAUACGACCUACGGGUGAAAGCAGGGGAUCUUCGGACCUUGCGCGAUUGAAUGAGCCGAUGUCGGAUUAGCUAGUUGGCGGGGUAAAGGCCCACCAAGGCGACGAUCCGUAGCUGGUCUGAGAGGAUGAUCAGCCACACUGACACUGAGACACGGUCCACACUCCUACGGGAGGCAGCAGUGGGGACUAUUGGACAAUGGGCGCAAGCCUGAUCCAGCCAUACCGCGUGGGUGAAGAAGCCCUAGGGGUUGUAAAGCCCUUUUGUUGAGAAAGAAAAGCAGCAGGUUAAUACCCCGCUGUUCUGACGGUACCCAAAGAAUAAGCAGCGGCUAACUUCGUG
rnacentral:rRNA from 1 species